rnacentral:rRNA from 1 species
AAAAAUGAAGAACCAUCUUCAAGGCUAAAUACUAUUGAAUUUGAUAGAAAAAAGUAUCGCGAGAUAAAGGUGAAAAAGUUUUUAUAAAAAUCUUAAAAUCCGAAAUUUAACGCAAAAUGCAGUUAAUGCUUAAUGUAUUAACGUACCUUUUGUAUAAUGGACCAAGGAGUUUAUAAUAAUAGCAAGCAUUAUUGCGUAUUGAAAAAAAUUUAGUUAUUAUUAUAAGACCCGAAACUACGUGAUCUAACUAUGAUCAGAUUGCGAAGUUAACACUUCAAGGAUCGUCGUCGUAAAUGUUGCAAAAUUUUGAUUCGAAUUAUAGUUAGGGGUGAAAGGCUUAUCAAACGUAGUGAUAGCUGGUUUUCUGCGAAAUCUAUUUAAGUAGAAAAAGUGUUUAUUAUUGAGUGUGGUAGCGUAAUUUUGGUAAUCGCACUCUCGUAGUCGUUUAUUAAAAAACGUCAAAUAUAUUCAAUAAAUUAAUGCUGGACAGACUAUGAGCGAAAAGGUUCAUAGUCAAAAGGGAAACAGCCCAAAUCGUUGGUUAAAGUUCCAAAAUAUAGUUUAAGAGAAAAUUAUACACUGAAUAAUGUAGGAGGUAGGCUUGGAAGCAGCCAUCCUAUAAUGAAAGCGUAAAAGCUCACUACAUUUACUGUUACAAUGAAUUAUUAGCAAAUCAGUAUGUAAUUAUCAAUUUGCGGAGUUAAACUAUAUACUGAAACUACGAAACAUAAAUUGUUGGUAGCAGAACGUUUUGUAUUUUGUAGAAAUUAAAUUGAAAAAUUUAGUGGAAAAAUCAAUAUCGUAUAUCUUGGUAUGAGUAACAGAUUUAAUGUGCGAAACAUUAAUGCCUUAUAUCUACGGGUU